UUUGAAUGACACUGAUUUAGUAAUUCACCUGCCAGACCUUUCAGAGGGUUUUCCCACAAAACCAAUAAACAAAAAGAUUCUUUUUGUUGUUGUUGUUCCUGGAAUUGUUCUUUUAAUUUUUAUGCCUGGCAGAUUAGGCCUGCCAAAAAUCUGACCAUUGAAUUGACAAGAGAGAGAAUUGACAAAAAGAGAGUUUUUUGCUUACUUUUUGGCUGUUUAUACUUAAUGCUGCCCUCCCUCAUUUCGGCACUAUUAGUAUUAUUAGUAUUUUGUGCUUUUCCUCACUUUUGUCAUCCUUUCAUUUCUUUGACACUCUUUCAGGGCUGUGACAUCCUGCCUCUGGCUGACAGGACAGAGAGACUGAACAUAUCAUUUCUUUGACGUGCUUAGCCUUUGCUGACCAGACAAACCCCCGUGAGCCAAGGUUUGUAUAAGGUGACAGCAUAUUACCCUCUCGUUGCUCUUCCCUCAGCUCUGGUUUGUUGUCCCUUUUUUUGGGAAGAAGUGGAGUUAAUACUUUGUUGCAUGAAGGACUAGAAAAACAUAGUAUCCUGGAUCCUUUUAGUUAAAGGAUUAAUUACCUAAAAUAUUUUUGAGCUCAAUUUGAGCAGUUGCUUUUAUAAACUUCAGAAUAUUAUCUAUUGUGAUUGAAAUCAUUGCAUCAGGAUUUAUGAAAACUGAGCUCAGUCCUUGUCUGAACCUACUUUCUGUAGAUUGAUUGGCCAUAUUGUUCUCUAGCAUCUGACAGACCGCAGAAGAAUAUUAGGCAUGAAACAUUAAUCAGGAAAUU
rnacentral:lncRNA from 1 species